AGCCUUUCGAAAGGAAGAUUAAUACCCCAUAAUAUUUAGAAUGGCAUCAUUUGAAAUUGAAAACUCCGGUGGAUAGAGAUGGGCACGCGCAAGAUUAGAUAGUUGGUGAGGUAACGGCUCACCAAGUCUGCGAUCUUUAGGGGGCCUGAGAGGGUGAUCCCCCACACUGGUACUGAGACACGGACCAGACUCAUACGGGAGGCAGCAGUGAGGAAUAUUGGACAAUGGGUGAGAGCCUGAUCCAGCCAUCCCGCGUGAAGGACGACGGCCCUAUGGGUUGUAAACUUCUUUUGUACAGGGAUAAACCUACCCUCGUGAGGGUAGCUGAAGGUACUGUACGAAUAAGCACCGGCUAACUCCGUGCCAGCAGCCGCGGUAAUACGGAGGGUGCAAGCGUUAUCCGGAUUUAUUGGGUUUAAAGGGUCCGUAGGCGGAUGUGUAAGUCAGUGGUGAAAUCUCACAGCUUAACUGUGAAACUGCCAUUGAUACUGCAUGUCUUGAGUGUUGUUGAAGUAGCUGGAAUAAGUAGUGUAGCGGUGAAAUGCAUAGAUAUUACUUAGAACACCAAUUGCGAAGGCAGGUUACUAAGCAACAACUGACGCUGAUGGAC
rnacentral:rRNA from 1 species